GGGGAUAUAGCUCAGCUGGGAGAGCACCUGCCUUGCACGCAGGGGGUCAAGGGUUCGAUUCCCUUUAUCUCCA
rfam:Clostridium estertheticum subsp. estertheticum strain DSM 8809, complete genome.